rnacentral:rRNA from 1 species
UAGGAAUCUUCCACAAUGGGCGAAAGCCUGAUGGAGCAACGCCGCGUGUGUGAUGAAGGGUUUCGGCUCGUAAAACACUGUUGUAAGAGAAGAAUGACAUUGAGAGUAACUGUUCAAUGUGUGACGGUAUCUUACCAGAAAGGAACGGCUAAAUACGUGCCAA